rnacentral:rRNA from 1 species
UACGUAGGUGGCAAGCGUUGUCCGGAAUUACUGGGUGUAAAGCGCGUGUAGGCGGCAGGCCAAGUCUGCGGUGAAAGCGCCCGGCUCAACUGGGCGAGGUCCGUGGAAACUGGUCAGCUGGAGGACGGUAGAGGCGAGUGGAAUUCCGCGUGUAGCAGUGAAAUGCGUAGAGAUGCGGAGGAACACCGAUGGCGAAGGCAGCCCCCUGGGCUGACACUGACGCCUCAGGCACGAAAGCGUGGGGAGCAAACAGG